CACGCAGGCCGCGUGGCUGGAAAGGAUCUCCUGAUCUCUGAGGGUCUUCAGGCUCUGGAGCUCAGUGGGAACUCUUUGGACAGCAGCUCCGGAGUGUGCCACCCAUGGAGUGAUCAGCACCGCGGGCCAAGGAGGAAAGAACCGUGUUGGGGAGUGUGACCCAGACGGGCCAGCUGAUGCAGAGCCCGGUCUGCAAAAGGGGAUGUGAGCCCACGUGCUGGAGCACUGAAGAAGGAGCUCACGUGCUGGAUUCCACAAGUCCCUUGCCCCGAGGGGCGGCGCCUGCGUGAGGCAGCACCUUCAACCCUGCCCUCGCCGGGGGACUCGCGAGUUAGCAGCCGGCCUGUUGAGGUCAGAGGAGGCGGGGUGCGUCCAAGCCUAGCGACUGCGCGUGCUUAAAGCUCUGGAGCAGAGAACGAGCGAGCGGCCUGAGCAACCCCAGCCCGUGACACCACCCGAACCACGCGCCACUACAGCUUUCCCGGCAUGGGGCGGGGGGCAAAUGCGGGGUGCUCUCCAUCCAGAGAGAGCUACGUUGUCCGCGGCUACGUGGACAACAGAGCGACCAUGUUCCCUCUGCAGCUCACCUCGCACAUCCCGAAGUGGGUAUGGGAAAUCAAGUCGCUCCACUGCUGACAAGGCUCCCAGGUAGUCAGCAGCACUCUGGGCAUCAGGGAAGCAGUGGUCAUUCUCAGCUGACUGCAGACAGAGCCGGUUGUCAAUCUCCAGCAUCACCACAGAGCUGUGGGAACAGAGCAGAGGGACCCAAAGGCUCAACACUUGUCUACAGCAUCCUAGACACCCGACCUCAGAGAGCCACAUCCGUCUCCACUCUCCAUGUCUCUACCACCCACCCAGCUCUCAGCUGGCAUCCAACUCCACUGUCUCUCCCAACAGAUCUUAUUGGUCACAGUGUCUCAAAGCUGUGAAUUCAAUAAUGUCUUCAUUCGCCCUGGUAGAGUCUGUUGGUGUCGCCCUUUGCUGGGACAGUGUACCAUGUCAGUUUCUCUAAAAGCUUGCUUUUUCUCCUUUAUCCUUCUUUGUGGUAUUGGAGAUGAACUUGGGGCCUUGAAUAUACAAGGUAGGUUCUCUACCACUGAGCCACGUCCUCUACUGUCCCCCAAUUCUUAGGUCUCUGAGAGUCCUUAGAUUCCUUCUUCAUUUCCUUCUCUCCUGCUUCCUUGAUUCUCCCUUCUUUCCCUCCAAUGGCCUCCAAUACCCAGUUGUCUUGUAUGCAUCUUCAGCCCUCAGUCAUCUCCUGGGGUUCCUCCCCAUACCUCAAGACCCCCUAAGAAUAGCAAGUUCCAAGGUGGCCCCUGCUUAGCCCUAUGUCCUCAUCACUAAGCCACUUUAGCCAAGAAAGGGGCCAUGUGUCACCUCACCCAUCUACUUGACUUCUGCCUGCAUCCAAUCAGAACCCACAAACCACAGCAUCUCUAAAGUUCAGCUCUCCUUUCCUUGUCAGGGCCCAAUCUUCAGGCCCUGGUCCACCCUCAAAAAAAUGCCUCUCCCACUUCAGGUUCCCCCUACCAGGUCACCAGUGAGCAAGUUCUACAACUUUUGUGAGAUGAGGGGAAAGGGGAAUGAAGAGAGUGGGGAGGAAAGAGAGUGAGUGUCGGGGGCGAUAUUGUAUGCCUGCAAUCCUAGUACUUGGAAGGGCUGAGUAGGAGAACCAUGAGUUCAAAGCCAACCUGGGCUACAGAUUGAAUUUCAGGUUAGUGCCUAUAAAACACAAACAAAGCAAACAACGAGAAGAAAACAACAAACAAGCCAGCGAAAUGGCUCACAGGCAACAUGCUCAUCAUGCAAGCCUGACAUCCUGAUGAGAAGAGAGAACUGACUUCACACUGUUGUCCUCUAACCUCUACAGGCAUGCGUCGUCAUGGCACUUGGGGACCUACACACACACAUCAUGCACACAAGAAGGUGCUGUCACCUGCAUUUGAAGAGUAAAAUCUCAGCGCUGCAGCGAGGCUCCCUGUAGUGUACAGAGGAUGAACCCCCCCCCCCCCCAUAGCAAAGAUGUCAACCCGACAGACACGGAAAAACCUGUGGAAGACGCCUUGCCAAGAGAGCUCUCAACUAAGAAGCGUGAAACAGACGGUCUGGACCACGGGUGCCCUAACCGCUGUACCCAGCCCUGAGCCACAGUCACUCACCCGAUCACCUCAGGACCCAGCUCACGACGGACCCGGGAUUCAGAGCCAGGGCUUGGCCGGUGAUAGGGGAAGACCAUGGCCUGGCCACGUGCGUCCAAGCGGAAGCGCAGUGAGGUGCGCAGAAUAGCGCUGAGUCGCUGCAGAAAGUCGGCACUGGAGCGCAGCAACUCUUCAGGAGGCAGAAGAACUGUGAGGACCAGAACCCCUCGGGCCAAAAGGGCCGGGACCUCGCUGGCACAGUCCAGCCCAUCCCAGCCGCAUUCCUCAGUGUUGCAGCCCUGGUCACAACGGCCAUCUGCAAAGUGGUCGGCGCAGUACUUCUCAUAAACAGGGCUGGGGACAGAGAACACAAACUCAGAGAUUCUUCGGGUCACCUAAAUGCACACACAGAGAAUAGCAGUAGUGGACAGUGCUGGUAUGGGGUUGGGGAUGGUGGUGGUGGGAAAUGUUCUUGCAUAUGCUUUCUGCAAAUGCAGUCGUUGGCUGCAUAAGCACAAGUUCUGUGUUCCUAAUUUGAAAUAAUUGGGACUAAAACUAUUUCAGAGUUCAAAUUAUAGUUUUAGAAUAUUUACACAUAUGCUUAAAUAUUAUAUAUGCAAAUAAAUGCAAUGAGAUAUCUUUCU
rnacentral:lncRNA from 1 species